AUUGAACGCUGGCGGCAGGCUUAACACAUGCAAGUCGAGCGAGCGGCGGACGGGUGAGUAAUGUCUGGGAAACUGCCUGAUGGAGGGGGAUAACUACUGGAAACGGUCGCUAAUACCGCAUACCAUCAGAUGUGCCCCGAUGGGAUUAGCUAGUAGGUGGGGUAAUGGCUCACCUAGGCGACGAUCCCUAGCUGGUCUGAGAGGAUGACCGUCCCCACCUGAACUGAGACACGGUCCAGAAUCCUACGGGAGGCAGCAGUGGGGAAUAUUGCACAAUGGGGUCCAGCCUGAUGCAGCCAUGCCGCGUGUGUGAAGAAGGCCUUCGGGUUGUAAAGCAGUUUCAGCGAGGAGGCGUUACUCGCAGAAGAAGCACCGGCUAACUCCGUGCCAGCAGCCGCGGUAAUUC
rnacentral:rRNA from 1 species